GACGGAGGGAGCAAGCGUUGUCCGGAAUCACUGGGCGUAAAGAGCUCGUAGGCGGGGGCUUAAGUCUGGGGGUAAAUCCAACGGCUCAACUGUUGGGUCAUCCUGGAUACUGGGUCUCUUGAGGACGGCAGGGGAAAGGGGAAUUCCUGGUGUAGCGGUGAAAUGCGUAGAUAUCAGGAGGAACACCGGUGGCGGAGGCGCCUUUCUGGGCCGGUCCUGACGCUGAGGAGCGAAAGCCAGGGGAG
rnacentral:rRNA from 1 species